UUCAUUAUUGACUUUGUUCAUUAUUGACUUUGUUCAUUGUUGACUAUGUUCAUUGUUGACUAUGUUCAUUAUUGACUAUGUUAAUUAUUGACUUUGUUCAUUGUUGACUAUGUUCAUUGUUGACUAUGUUCAUUGUUGACUAUGUUCAUUGUUGACUAUGUUCAUUGUUGACUAUGUUUAUUUACCUUGUUCAUUGAUUUCGUUCAUUUUGUAUUGUUUACUCACUACUUCGACUGACCUGUUGCGUCUUAUAGAACACGAAUAGCAAUCUACCUAUUCUACCUAUUAUAUUACUUUGUAUUUUACGUAUUUAUAAAUUACGGUUCAAUGUUUUUAUAAUUUAUGUAUAAUCUUUUCUUUAUUAUUUUUUUUAGUUUUCUGCCGUGUUGCUGUAAUCACAGUUUGUUAUUAACCUCUCUCUCUCUCUCUCUCUCUCUCUCUCUCUCUCUCUCACUCAGUAACUCACUCAUACACACAGUAGCACGCACGCUCGCACAGGCAGCUUGUUAUCCACCGUUCUUCAGUCUCUAGGCAAGGGGCUGGCUUGUCCAGGAAAACAUCUAGAAGCUUUGCGAACUGCGUUUUGGUUUUUAGCUCGCUGGAAAAGUGUGCCUAACCUUUCUGUACUGCGCUAUCAGCACUCGCGAUCAAGUUCAAGGGCGCGGCCAAAUGCAAC